UAUAUAUAUAUAUACAGGAAUGUGUGUAAAUCACGAAAAUUAACACGUGAUGAAAAUGUGACAGUGUCAGACUACGGAGGAACAAUUGAAACAAGAAUUUCCUUAAGUACUUUCGUUUAUUAAUACAUGUUCAGAAGGAAUAGGAAUGAUUCCUAUUCAGUGACAGUCACUGGAAUAGGAAUAGGAAUCAUUCCUAUUCCUUUUGAAGAUGUAUUAAUAUACGAAAGUACUUAAGGAAAUUCCAAUUUCAAUUCUUCCUCCGUGGUCUGACACUGUCAUAUACAGGAAUGAAAAGGUGAAUAUAUUAUCACUGUAAAAUGUUUAGAUUAAGUCCGCGCGCCGGGAUGCCUUUCCGAGAUUUUCGGGCGUUUUAUACGGAGAAUAGUUUCACCUUUCUAAGGAAUGAUUACUCUCGGAGGUAAUGUCACAGGACUAAUUAUACCUAAGAGUAAUGUAACACGGAAUGAUUAUGCCUUGGAGUAAUCCUGUACAGUACAUCUGGAGGGAUCUUACACUAUACACCAAGUACCUCUGUUGUCAUACAAUGCAUUUACCUAAAUCUGUUUUUGUACAGUCUAUUUGUUACACCUAAGAACAAGCAACAAACCCAUCGAGUCGAUUUCAAAAGUGCAGGUGUUGAGUGGUCGUACAGCAGUGAUAGGUGAGGGGUAGGUGUCUCCAAGUGCAGGUGUUGAGUGGUCGUACAGCAGUGAUGGGUCAGGGGGUAGGUGUCUCCAAGUGCAGGUGUUGAGUGGUCGUACAGCAGUGAUGGGUCAGGGGGGUAGGUGUCUCCAAGUGCAGG